GAUGAACGCUGGCGGCGUGCCUAACACAUGCAAGUCGAGCGAUUCUCUUCGGAGAAGAGCGGCGGACGGGUGAGUAACGCGUGGGUAACCUGCCCUGUACACACGGAUAACAUACCGAAAGGUAUGCUAAUACGAGAUAACAUACUUUUAUCGCAUGGUAGAAGUAUCAAAGCUUUUGUGGUACAGGAUGGACCCGCGUCUGAUUAGCUAGUUGGUAAGGUAACGGCUUACCAAGGCGACGAUCAGUAGCCGACCUGAGAGGGUGAUCGGCCACAUUGGAACUGAGACACGGUCCAAACUCCUACGGGAGGCAGCAGUGGGGAAUAUUGCACAAUGGGCGAAAGCCUGAUGCAGCAACGCCGCGUGAGCGAUGAAGGCCUUCGGGUCGUAAAGCUCUGUCCUCAAGGAAGAUAAUGACGGUACUUGAGGAGGAAGCCCCGGCUAACUACGUGCCAGCCGCCGCAGUAAAAC
rnacentral:rRNA from 1 species